CCUACGGGAGGCAGCAGUAGGGAAUCUUCCGCAAUGGACGAAAGUCUGACGGAGCAACGCCGCGUGAACGAUGAAGGCCUUCGGGUCGUAAAGUUCUGUUGUUAGGGAAGAACAAGUGCUAGUUGAAUAAGCUGGCACCUUGACGGUACCUAACCAGAAAGCCACGGCUAACUACGUGCCAGCAGCCGCGGUAAUACGUAGGUGGCAAGCGUUGUCCGGAAUUAUUGGGCGUAAAGCGCGCGCAGGCGGUUUCUUAAGUCUGAUGUGAAAGCCCCCGGCUCAACCGGGGAGGGUCAUUGGAAACUGGGAAACUUGAGUGCAGAAGAGGAAAGUGGAAUUCCAAGUGUAGCGGUGAAAUGCGUAGAGAUUUGGAGGAACACCAGUGGCGAAGGCGACUUUCUGGUCUGUAACUGACGCUGAGGCGCGAAAGCGUGGGGAGCAAACAGGAUUAGAUACCCUGGUAGUCCACGCUGUAAACGAUGAGUGCUAAGUGUUAGAGGGUUUCCGCCCUUUAGUGCUGAAGUUAACGCAUUAAGCAUCCGCCUGGGGAUACGGUCGCAAGACAGAACUACAAGAGAGUAGACGCGNGAGAGNGACGACGACGACGAGAGGAGAGG
rnacentral:rRNA from 1 species